CAGUCGACGGCAGCAUGAUCUAGCUUGCUAGAUUGAUGGCGAGUGGCGAACGGGUGAGUAAUACAUCGGAACGUGCCCUGUAGUGGGGGAUAACUAGUCGAAAGAUUAGCUAAUACCGCAUACGACCUGAGGGUGAAAGUGGGGGACCGCAAGGCCUCAUGCUAUAGGAGCGGCCGAUGUCUGAUUAGCUAGUUGGUGGGGUAAAGGCCCACCAAGGCGACGAUCAGUAGCUGGUCUGAGAGGACGAUCAGCCACACUGGGACUGAGACACGGCCCAGACUCCUACGGGAGGCAGCAGUGGGGAAUUUUGGACAAUGGGCGAAAGCCUGAUCCAGCAAUGCCGCGUGUGUGAAGAAGGCCUUCGGGUUGUAAAGCACUUUUGUCCGGAAAGAAAUGGCUCUGGUUAAUACCUGGGGUCGAUGACGGUACCGGAAGAAUAAGGACCGGCUAACUACGUGCCAGCAGCCGCGGUAAUACGUAGGGUCCAAGCGUUAAUCGGAAUUACUGGGCGUAAAGCGUGCGCAGGCGGUUGUGCAAGACCGAUGUGAAAUCCCCGAGCUUAACUUGGGAAUUGCAUUGGUGACUGCACGGCUAGAGUGUGUCAGAGGGGGGUAGAAUUCCACGUGUAGCAGUGAAAUGCGUAGAGAUGUGGAGGAAUACCGAUGGCGAAGGCAGCCCCCUGGGAUAACACUGACGCUCAUGCACGAAAGCGUGGGGAGCAAACAGGAUUAGAUACCCUGGUAGUCCACGCCCUAAACGAUGUCAACUAGUUGUUGGGGAUUCAUUUCCUU
rnacentral:rRNA from 1 species